rnacentral:rRNA from 1 species
AGAGUUUGAUCAUGGCUCAGGAUGAACGCUGGCGGCGUGCCUAACACAUGCAAGUCGAGCGCGAUUAAUUGGACCGGAGACUUCGGUCAAAGGGAAGAUUAUGAAAGCGGCGGACGGGUGAGUAACGCGUGAGCAACCUGCCCUGUACAGGGGGAUAGCCACUGGAAACGGUGAUUAAUACCCCAUAAACCCAAAGGACCGCAUGGUCCAAUGGGCAAAGUUCCAACGGUACAGGAUGGGCUCGCGUCUGAUUAGCUAGUUGGUGAGGUAACGGCUCACCAAGGCGACGAUCAGUAGCCGACCUGAGAGGGUGAACGGCCACACUGGAACUGAGACACGGUCCAGACUCCUACGGGAGGCAGCAGUGGGGAAUAUUGCACAAUGGGCGCAAGCCUGAUGCAGCAACGCCGCGUGAGUGAUGAAGGCCUUCGGGUCGUAAAACUCUGUCCUAAGGGAAGAAGAAGUGACGGUACCUUAGGAGGAAGCCCCGGCUAACUACGUGCCAGCAGCCGCGGUAAUACGUAGGGGGCAAGCGUUAUCCGGAAUCACUGGGCGUAAAGGGUGCGUAGGCGGCUGAUCAAGCCAGGGGUGAAAGGCAAUAGCUUAACUAUUGUAAGCCUUUGGAACUGGUCAGCUUGAGUGCAGGAGAGGAAAGCGGAAUUCCUAGUGUAGCGGUGAAAUGCGUAGAUAUUAGGAGGAACACCCGUGGCGAAGGCGGCUUUCUGGACUGUAACUGACGCUGAGGCACGAAAGCGUGGGGAGCAAACAGGAUUAGAUACCCUGGUAGUCCACGCUGUAAAC